AACAACGGAGAGUUUGAUCCUGGCUCAGGAUGAACGCUAGCGACAGGCCUAACACAUGCAAGUCGAGGGGCAUCGGGGGUGGAAGCUUGCUUCCGCCUGCCGGCGACCGGCGCACGGGUGAGUAACGCGUAUGCAACCUGCCCGGACCAGCGGGAUAACCCGGGGAAACCCGGCCUAAUACCGCACGGCGCCGCCAAGGGGCAUCCCUUGGCGGCUAAAGAAYCAUCGGGUCCGGAUGGGCAUGCGUGGCAUUAGCUUGUUGGCGGGGUAACGGCCCACCAAGGCGACGAUGCCUAGGGGUUCUGAGAGGAAGGUCCCCCACACUGGUACUGAGACACGGACCAGACUCCUACGGGAGGCAGCAGUGAGGAAUAUUGGUCAAUGGGCGAGAGCCUGAACCAGCCAAGUCGCGUGAGGGACGACGGCCCUACGGGUUGUAAACCUCUUUUGCCGGGGGACAAACGGCGGCACGCGUGCCGUCCUGAGGGUACCCGGAGAAAAAGCAUCGGCUAACUCCGUGCCAGCAGCCGCGGUAAUACGGAGGAUGCGAGCGUUAUCCGGAUUUAUUGGGUUUAAAGGGUGCGUAGGCGGGAUGCCAAGUCAGCGGUCAAAUACGGGGGCUCAACCUGCGUCCGCCGUUGAAACUGGCGUUCUUGAGUGGGCGAGAAGUACGCGGAAUGCGUGGUGUAGCGGUGAAAUGCAUAGAUAUCACGCAGAACCCCGAUUGCGAAGGCAGCGUACCGGCGCCCGACUGACGCUGAAGCACGAAAGCGUGGGUAUCGAACAGGAUUAGAUACCCUGGUAGUCCACGCAGUAAACGAUGAACACUAAUUGUCCGGCGGGAUUAUCCGCUGGGUGAUACAGCGAAAGCGUUAAGUGUUCCACCUGGGGAGUACGCCGGCAACGGUGAAACUCAAAGGAAUUGACGGGGGCCCGCACAAGCGGAGGAACAUGUGGUUUAAUUCGAUGAUACGCGAGGAACCUUACCCGGGCUCAAACGCAACGCGGACAUACCGGAAACGGGAUGGCCAGCAAUGGCGCGUUGCGAGGUGCUGCAUGGUUGUCGUCAGCUCGUGCCGUGAGGUGUCGGCUUAAGUGCCAUAACGAGCGCAACCCCCACCGCCAGUUGCCAACAGGCAAAGCUGGGAACUCUGGCGGGACUGCCGGCGCAAGCUGCGAGGAAGGCGGGGACGACGUCAAAUCAGCACGGCCCUUACGUCCGGGGCGACACACGUGUUACAAUGGCGCCCACAGCGGGAAGCCAGGCGGCGACGCCGAGCGGAACCCGAAAAGGCGCCUCAGUUCGGAUUGGAGUCUGCAACCCGACUCCAUGAAGCUGGAUUCGCUAGUAAUCGCGCAUCAGCCACGGCGCGGUGAAUACGUUCCCGGGCCUUGUACACACCGCCCGUCAAGCCAUGGGAGCCGGGAGUGCCUGAAGUGCGCGGCCGCGAGGAGCGCCCUAGGGCAAGACUGGUGACUGGGGCUAAGUCGUAACAAGGUAGCCGUACCGGAAGGUGCGGCUGGAACACCUCCUUUCUGGAG
rnacentral:rRNA from 1 species